CCUACGUGGGGGAGAGCACUAAGCACAUUGGUGAGGCCGGAACAAAGUAGCAAGAGUGAGUCACAAAUGAUACAGUUGAAGCUAGUCCACCAAGGUUCAUGAAGGUGAGGCGGAGGAGUUGGAGGUGAUGGGAGAAGUCAGAGUGAGCUGCUUUCAGAGGGCCUGAGCAGGGGGAAUAUACGUUUUAGCAGAGGGGAGCAGGAUGGCGAGAAACCAGAAACAAAAAGACCCCAAAGAUGUCCCCACAGGAUUGGUGAGGGAAAGCGGGGACCUGGGAAGGGCGGUAGUCCUACCAUACAGACCUAGCUUCGGUCCUCUUUGUUACUUCCCAGGCUCAAGGGGUUAGGCUGCCCCAACCCUUCUGCCCCUAUGGCGGAAGUGGAAACUGUGGUUUCCAAAGGUCCUUCCUGAUCUGCAAUCUCUGUGAAAGAAACGGCUGGCCCGUGGACAUUUCUACAGAGAUAAAGUCAAAGAUCGGUUUGUGGGGGCGGCGACAGGGCACAGGCAGGAUUUGGAAGAUUGAGGCCUAAUGCUUUCCUUAUGUGGCCUUCCUAUUCAGUUAGCUCAGAUCACCGUCUGAUUGCCCCACCUGUGCUCUCCUUGGCAUCUCCCACUCACCUCACGCUUCUGACAUGGGUGCUGCCUGCUCAUUGCCAGCACAGAGAGAGGAGAAACAACUUCAUCCUGGCCUUCUACCCAGCCUGAAGCUGCAUGUGGCAUGAGGGUCCGUGUCCUAGCCCUUGACUGCUCCCAUGAGAAAAGAGAUGCAAAAUCAUAUUAAAUCAUCAUGUUAAUAUAGUUCAUGCCUGGUUCUCUCUCAGUUACCCAGCCAUCAUGCAAGAGGGUCCAAUCUAGACCCCAAGGAGAGGAACUGAGGCCCCCAGCCAAUAGCCAGCAUCCACUGCCAGACAUGGGAGUGAAGGAUCAAAUGCAGGACCGGUCAGUAAGCAGCUGAGGGAUCUCUGUCCAUGGCCCCGUAGUUGGCCCUGUGCUGCUAUGAGGAUGAAGGAGGCAGGGGCCCUGAAGCCCCUAGGAAUUUUAUUUGCUGUUUGGAGGCAUCAAGUUCUUAAUAAAAGUAGCAUCAACGCAGAAGACCUGGGUUCAUGUCACAGCUGAGCUCCUGCUCGCUGAGUCACCUGGGGUAGCCCACGGAGCCCUCUAAGCCUCAAUUUCUUCAGCUGCAAGUGGUCCUGAUGGCUGGUUUUGGAUCAAACAAUGCAGUGCAUGUGAAAAAGAGAUGAUAGGCUUUAAAAAGAGUUCUUCCUUCCACAGGUAUCUAUUGGGGGUCUUUUACUGUGCAAAUGCUUAGGAUCUAAAGAUACGAGUAACAGGCCAGACUCCUGCCCUCAGGAAGUUCCUCCAGUGGCUGUUAUUAUUGAGGAUAGUUGAAUAAACGGGGCCACUCACAAGAAGCAAAUGGAGAGCUUUGUCAGAUUAUGGAAGAUUGUAUUUCCAAAGAUAGCAGCCCCCUACCCCACCCCAUGCUCUUCUUGUCACGUGACAGACUCCAGGGUGGAGUUAUGUUCCCUCCCCUUGAAUCUGAGUGGGGCUGUGACUGCUGUGACCAAUGGGUUAUGAGGAAAGCAGUGUAGAUCAUCAAAAGGUGAGGUCAUAAAAAGAAUAUAGUUCAUGCCUGGUUCUCUCUCAGUUACCCAGCCAUCAUGCAAGAGGGUCCAAUCUAGACCCCAAGGAGAGGAACUGAGGCCCCCAGCCAAUAGCCAGCAUCCACUGCCAGACAUGGGAGUGAAGGAUCAUGCAAACAAUUCCAGUUCCCAGCUUUCAAGCCUUCCAGGUGUGACCCCAGACAUCGUGGAGCAGAGACAAGCCAUCCCCACUUUGCUCUGUCCAAAUUCCUGACCCACAGAACCCAGGAACAUAACAAAGGGGGUCUCAUUCCCCUAAGUCUUGGGGUAAUUUCUUAGGCAACAUUAGAUAACCAGAAUAUAGAGUAACUUCAGGACAAGCAAGAAUGAGCAGCAUAUAAAUUGAAGCAGAAGUGCCCGAAAGGACUUGAGAAUUAGUCAGAACGGAAUGGCAUUAAAUGUGGAAAGCAUUACUGACCCUCGCCAUGUGGUUUCUAACCCUGUCCUAUCGUGACAUUGCUCCCUGAAAGGCCAUCAACCACCUCCCAACUGAUGAAAAAUAAACUUCAACCUUUUCUCCAUACUUAUUCCCCUUCAACUUUUUCUUCCCUUGACUUCCAGUCAAAAUGUAAGGUCAAUUACCACACAAACACGCUUCUCUACUGGUCUCUGCAUUGCUUUAUUCAUUAGUUGCUCCUCUUCCACCCACCUUGCCACUAAG
ensembl:lncRNA